UACGUAGGGGGCAAGCGUUGUCCGGAAUCAUUGGGCGUAAAGAGCGUGUAGGCGGCCCGGUAAGUCCGCUGUGAAAGUCCAGGGCUCAACCUUGGGAUGCCGGUGGAUACUGUCGGGCUCGAGUCCGGAAGAGGAGUGUGGAAUUCCUGGUGUAGCGGUGAAAUGCGCAGAUAUCAGGAGGAACACCAGUGGCGAAGGCGGCGACCUGGACAGAUAUUGACGCUGAGGUGCGAAAGCGUGGGGAGCAAACAGG
rnacentral:rRNA from 1 species